AGGUGACGCCUCUGUCUGCUCGGGGGCCGCCUCAGGCAGCGUGCACGGUGCCAUGUCAGCCACGUGGGCUUUCCUCCUUCUGUCCGGAGAGCCAGGGAUUGACUGAGGAGCCAAGGAGGAGGACUCGGAGCUGGACAGAACUGGGCAGAGGCUGGAACAGAGGUGGAGGCUGGAGAUGUGACAGGUUGGCACGUAGACCAGAAAUGAGAGCAAUGGCAGGGAUUUGGAUUUGAACCACCAGCUGGGAGGGGAAGAACCAACCAGAAGAGCAGGUAGGGGAGGCAGAAGAUCUGAGAGAGGACCUUGGUUAAGGACAAACAUGAGCUGGAAGAAACAAACCACUAGCUGGCAGAAAUGGACAGAAAGGCCUGGCCCAUCAGGCCACAUGCUAGCAGGAGGCUGUGGCGGAGUCCCAUAUUUCCUGGUCUCCUCAGUCCCCCACUUUCUGCAGAUUUCCACAAAGUCAUUUGGCAAAGUGUCUCACUCUCAUCUAGUGUUGUCUCACAGACGACUCGAUAACCUCUGUGAUCAUUUCAAGGGGGAAAAUUACACGCUUUUGUUUGAUCCUGCUGCAUCUGCAGUCACAAAGAUAUUAAUAAGAUGGCACAGAUGUUAACAAGACAGAGGCCAUGAGGAAAUUUAGGGACAUGAUAGGUUAACAGACUACUACAGAGAAUGCUUAGAGCAUGCCUAAAUCACAUUCAGUUUGCAACUUUAGAUAUGUUCCCCCUGUGCAUUGACAUAGUAAUAGCUCUUUAAUUCAGCUUCUCUUUUUUCACAUGGGUUUUGGCUUCUUUAGACCCAAGAUGGACAACGCCUUUGUAAUGAGCAGCUAUUCAUUAAGCUAUUCAGUUAAGUUAUGUCACCAUUACUGUUCAGUGUUUGACUGAUUUAUUUGCUGAUCCCAUCUGAAUGACUCAUUUCCUCGUGAACUUUUUAUAUACUCUACGUUUUAGUGCUUCACAGCUAUUAAUUGGUUUACAGUGAUUUUGCGAAUGGCAAAAUGAGGGCAGAGAGGGAUUAAAGUUAAAAAUAUCCACUACUUUUAGAAUCUCAGUUUGAGAUGCCUCAGUCCUGUCUUCUCAGAGCACACAUGCUAAUGUAGCGCUUACACUCAAAAUACAGCACAUGCAGAUUCCAAAACUGCAAGAGACUUCAGCCUUCCUAUAAAUGGCAACCCACAAGGUAAUGAAAAUGCCAUUAAUAAUGUGCUGAGAAACCUGGUACUUGCCUAGCAUCACAUGCAAGCCUCUGUGGUGCAGCCAGGAAUAAAACCUACUUUUUGGAAGAGUACCCACAAAACUACCCCUCCUCUUCCAGCAUCUUCCUGCCUUCUCCUUUUUUAUACACCUUCCCAACUGUGGGAAGUGAGGCAGAUGUCUCGAAUGCAGCAUAAGCCUAACCUGGAAAACUUUGAUUCCCUGCCUGGGCGGGUCCAGCCUCUGCAGUGAAGGAUCUGGCAGUCCUAAGGAUAGAACAGAAGCUUGCUGCGUACUUAAAAAUGGAUAAAAACAUAUGCACAAGGAGAUGAAACUAAGAUUGCACAGGACAGUUUCACUUGGGCACAUCUAACUUCCAAAUGUUUGAUUUUGACAGCUUUCAUAAUGUUCUCUACAGGGAAGAACUGGCUUUAAAUUUUGCGUAUGGGUUCAGUGAAUGCUUGGACCGUUUUAAGGGCAUACAUGUAUCUGCUGGGGCAUGCUCCAUUAACGCCAGGGGUCAGGAUACACUGACCCAGAGGAAGAGAACUUGCAGAUGCAAAAAUCUUGAAAGGAAACCAUCUCCUUGCUCCAGCCCUGACAGCAGAGCUGCAUUUCCAGUUCCAGCCAUGACUUCCAAGACCUUUCUCCCAGUUCAGGACUUCAGUCUCCAGAGGUUUUGGUCAAAGCCCUUCAGCCAUGUACUGUCCCCCAGGUACUACCCCCCUGUUAGCAGGGGCAGAGCAGGUCCUCUCCAUGUCUGGACCCCCCAUCUUGACCCUGUCCUGGCAUUUCCAGUGUUCUGGACCCCGCAUCCGGAGAAAGCAAUGGAGGUCUGGGUUCAGCCCGCCAGCUCUUCUGAGUGUGCCGCUGUGAGCAUUUCCUCCUCCUCCCACCCCCUGUAUUUUAUUUUCCACCAGCGCUCUCAGGCUGGGGCUGCACUGCCGGCCCCCGAGGCGUGAAGGCGCAGCAGCCAGGAGCGCCGCUCUCCAGCCACGAGUACCGCCAGUUCUUCAGGUCCCUCCGGGCCGCCCACCGCGCCACCACCGCCUGCCACCUUCGUGCGCUGUACGGCUGCCAGAACCCCCUGGUCCGGAGACUGGAUGAGUAUGAAAACCACGGAGUGAUCCCCAAAGGGCCUGUAUGCUCUGAACUGCCAGGAACUCCUUUCUUCCCCAACUUCUGUGCCUUUGCUUUUUAUCGCUGCACUAUGAAAAGGUACUUCAUUAAGAGGACUGCAUGCCCAGGAGACAGUAAGGCUGAGCUGGGCAGUACGCGAACCUUCAACAUGACCACGAGCAGUGACGCAGUGUUGUCUAGUAUCUUCCGUUCCCAGCCCGUUUUUCCCACCUCUCCUACAAGCACCCAGCCAGCCGGCUCUAAACUCGACAUGGAAGUAGCUGUGAUCUCCAGCUCCUUACCCGAGGGCUCACCAGAGCUGAGGAACAUGCAACAGAGUCCUUCUGACCCACAUGCCUCAGAGGUGACAGUCAUUGGCCAGCAGCAGGGACAGCUGCCCACCACUGACAUCCAGGACCUCCUUCUGAGGCUGCAGGAUACCCACGUGCAGAGUUUGAUGCAGAAACUGCAGCAGCUGAUGGCCAUGGGGAAGGCGGUGGGGGAGGAGGAGUUGCAGGCUGUUGCCCUAAAGCUGCUGGUGGCCCUGAACAACGCAAGUGUGUCUCCGUGGGCAAAAAGCACCGACACGGGACAUGGAAGAGAAGAGUGAUCAGCAAAGGAGGACCAGCAAUUGUCCAGCAAAUCUUCUGCAUGCUGUCUCAGAGGGGAUGUAUGGGAACACAGAACCUAGAGAAGGAGUCCUUCCUAGGCCUGAGGCAGCAUCAAAGUUGACAGUACUUCCCCAGGCCAACAGUGUAGGAAGCAAGGGGGAAAGGCGCAAGGGAAAAUCCAGGCACCUGAAAUGGUAUCGCUCAGGAUUCAGAGAAAGACAUUAUCCUCUUGAAAGUAACUGUACUGAAUAUAUAUUGUCCUCUCCCACACAAACUGUUCACCCACCACUUUUCAGUCUGGGAGAUCUCCAUUCUUGAACAAGGCAAGAUGGAAAAAAAUGACUUUUUUUCCUACAUGUGGCUCUACCACCACCAUCACUAGCUCUCUGUCCUUGCAGAGAGAUGGAGUUUGUUAUGUCCUUCAAUGAAUGUCACAGGAGAACACUGGCCUUUCUUCAUCAAGGAUAGGUGUUUCUGCUGGGAAGCAUUAAGGGAAGAUUCUUCUUUGGAAAUGUGUGUGUGAAUACACAAACAUAUAUACACAAGGGGUGCUCUAAAUGCAGAAGGCCUUACCCUGCAAUGGAACUGCUUGUUCUGGUUGUCGUCUAUUUCUGAAAUAGACUCUAUGAAAUACACAGAGUAAGUAUACACAUUGAGAAACUCUUGUCUCUCAGAAAAUAAGUAACAGAGUCACAUUUAUGGGAAUUUUGGCUGUAGUGCUGUUCCUUUUGUAAACACUGGGCACAUCUGUAUGUAAAACCCCAUGAAGUUACCUGCAGCCAGCAUGAGCUAACAGCAGAGUGGAAACUGAGGGAACCAGCUCUGGUUUUCUGAAUCUCCACUCACUCUGCGUUUAGAGCCACCACCAAAAUGAGAAUCUCCCGUUCACCUUUCCCCACAGACUUUGCUGUAACCCAUUCCACGGAGGGCUAGGAGGGGAAACGAGCCAAAGGCGGCUCUGCCCUUGGAUGCAUCACACCGAGCACGUUGCCCCGUGGCGUGGGUCGGGGAUGUCCAUGGUCCCUUUAUGCUGACUGAGGGACACAACCACAGAUAAGUAGAGGCACUGUCUCUGUCCUCUGAGGGAAGUCCUUAGAAGAUCUCCUUCCUUUUUUUUUUUUUUUUUUCCAAAUUACCAACCAAAGAAGACUAACUACCGCAGCUACGACUUCACCUGCCCUCACGUUUGAUCGCUGUAAGCAUUUCCCACCACUUCCAAGCCACACACACAGCCGUGACCGGUGUGACAAAGACUCCCCUGCUCCCUCCGACCCCAACACCUCGCUCUCCCCCCCCGCUCCCAAACCGCACACCCUCCGCUUGGCGAG